AUUGAACGCUGGCGGCAGGCCUAACACAUGCAAGUCGAGCGGAUGAAGGGAGCUUGCUCCUGGAUUCAGCGGCGGACGGGUGAGUAAUGCCUAGGAAUCUGCCUGGUAGUGGGGGAUAACGUCCGGAAACGGGCGCUAAUACCGCAUACGUCCUGAGGGAGAAAGUGGGGGAUCUUCGGACCUCACGCUAUCAGAUGAGCCUAGGUCGGAUUAGCUAGUUGGUGGGGUAAAGGCCUACCAAGGCGACGAUCCGUAACUGGUCUGAGAGGAUGAUCAGUCACCCUGAACUGAGACACGGUCCAGACUCCUACGGGAGGCAGCAGUGGGGAAUAUUGGACAAUGGGCGAAAGCCUGAUCCAGCCAUGCCGCGUGUGUGAAGAAGGUCUUCGGAUUGUAAAGCACUUUAAGUUGGGAGGAAGGGCAGUAAGUUAAUACCUUGCUGUUUUGACGUUACCAACAGAAUAAGCACCGGCUAACUUCGUG
rnacentral:rRNA from 1 species